rnacentral:rRNA from 1 species
AGCAGCCGCGGUAAUUCCAGCUCCAAUAGCGUAUAUUAAAGUUGUUGCAGUUAAAAAGCUCGUAGUUGAAUUUCGGGAUCAAAUUGUCGGUCGUGUCUCGGUACGAACUGGUAUUAUUGGUUCCUCCCUUCUGAAGAACCGCGAUGUCAUUAAUUUGGUGUCGUGGGGAAUCAGGACUGUUACUUUGAAAAAAUUAGAGUGUUUAAAGCAGGCUUACGCUUGAAUACAUUAGCAUGGAAUAAUGAAAUAGGACGUUUGAUUCUAUUUUGUUGGUUUCUAGGAUCGACGUAAUGAUUAAUAGGGAUAGUUGGGGGCAUUAGUAUUCAAUUGUCAGAGGUGAAAUUCUUGGAUUUAUUGAAGACUAACUACUGCGAAAGCAUUUGCCAAGGAUGUCUUCAUUAAUCAAGAACGAAAGUUAGGGGAUCGAAGACGAUCAGAUACCGUCGUAGUCUUAACCAUAAACUAUGCCGACUAGGGAUCGGAUGAUGUUAAUUUUUUAAUGUACUCAUUCGGCGCCUUA